GACGAACCGAGCGAACGUUGUUCGGAAUCACUGGGCUUAAAGGGCGCGUAGGCGGGCUGUCAAGUCUGGGGUGAAAUCCCGCGGCUCAACCGUGGAACUGCCUCAGAUACUGACGGCCUCGAGGGAGGUAGGGGCGAGCGGAACGGGUGAUGGAGCGGUGAAAUGCGUUGAUAUCACUCGGAACUCCGGUGGCGAAGGCGGCUCGCUGGACCUCUUCUGACGCUGAGGCGCGAAAGCUAGGGGAGCAAACGGG
rnacentral:rRNA from 1 species